rnacentral:lncRNA from 1 species
CAGGCGUGUGCCACUGCAUCCAGCCAAGAGGAGUUAAUUUUAAAACAAACAUGGUGGCCGUGUUUGAGAAGGAAUUUUCCAAGAAACUUUACAGGGUCUUGCUAAGUGGCUUAGGGUCUUGCUAAUUUGCUGAGCCUCCCUUGAACUUGUGAUUUUCCUGCCUCAGCCUCCCGAGCUGCUGGAAUGACAGGUAUGUACCAAGGUGCCAGCUAAUAAUUAUGU